rnacentral:lncRNA from 1 species
AGGCCAGAAAGGAUGCGGCGGUUACCUGUCGCAUCUACCUGGCCGCUGCCGUUGGUGCACUGGCCCUGGCCGUCCUCAUCGUAUCGGCGUUCACCAUGACAUCACCUGCGGCGAAAUACCAACAAGUGGACGAAGAGGGCGCCACGACUAUGCGCAUCUACCAUGUGAACAUGGAGCCGAGAGAGGCCACGAAGCAAGAAACGGCGUCGCGCAAGGCCGUGCCCAACGCCACCGCGUCGCCAACGAAGACAACAACACCGGACAGCGCUGAAAUGGAGA